CCCUGUCUCUCUGCCCCUCCCCUGCUUGUACUCAUAAAUAAAUAAGUAAAUACAUACAUACAUACAUACAUACAUACAUACAUAUAUAAAUAGUCCUUAGAAGUGUUAUUGGGACAAAUGGGUCUUUUAAGACUCCAAAGACUAUAAAUUUUGCAAUGGCAUACAAAAUACUCAGACGGGACUCUGGGAACAGAUGCUGGACAGAGUUUGGGGUGCAAGAUGUUUAUUAAGGAUGAGCUCCUGUGAAAGGAAGAAUGAAGAGGCAGGACUGGGCAGAGGAAGAAAUCAGACUGCAAUGAAAGCUUGAUAGAGCCUAGACCAACCCACUGAGGAGCUCUGGAAUAAGUACUGCUCACAAGCCUGUCCUGCUUUGGGCUGAAAUGGCCUGUUUUGUUCAGGCAGGAGAUGCUGGAUGUUCCAGGAAGGGUAGGACUUUGUGGGGGGGGGGGGGGUGUCUCAGCAGGGGACAAUUUGCCUUCUGCUGGGUUUUACAUUCGUUUCCCUUCUCUGCCUUUGGGCCCCUCUCCCCAGUUGGAUCCAAUAUUUUCUGUGUGUUUCCAGCACUGGAUGGAAUAAAAAUAGAGUGAGCCCUUAGAUAGGGGCAAGUGCUAGGGUCAGGGCACCCAACCCCCAUAGGGAAAUUGGAGACCUGGGCACCCACCUGGAGAAAGUAUUGGGUGGUAUCAGGCCUUGACCAGACCCAGCACUAUGGCUUGGGGAACAGACAGGUAGGUGUCAAUUUGGAGCACCCCAAGAACUAUUCCUGUCAUAGCUAUUGACCAGAAAUAAGGAUAGACUGAAGUGCAAAUUGUUCAAAUGUUAGACUAGGCAGUUAGGUUCUAACAGGAUACCUGGAGGCCAGCAAAGAGGAAGUCAUGGUCAGCGUUUGGGAAGGCCAGAGGCCUGUCCUCACAGCACUCCUUAAGAAGCCACCAGACAGGCCCAACAAGGCAGGUGCCAAGACAGGAAACCCCUGGCCAAAUAAGGAAGAAGAGAGAAAACCUACCAAUUCCACUCCAAAUAAUGAAUAAACCACACCC